UUUUACAUACAAAUAUUUUUUCUGCUUUAAAUGGCUUCUCUAUGUUAAAAAAGUUUUUUUUCCGGGGCCGUGAAGCAAGAUCGUUUCCUACAUGGGAUUCUAUUUUGGUCCAGUGUUGAUCUUUAGUGGUGAUUACUAAAGCUUCUCCUGUGUACAAAGAUGCUUCCACCUGCUCCAGGGGGAGCACACACCUGCUCUGAGGAUACAGACUAAGUGCUAAAAUACACUGUUAACUGAUGGACUCAAAACAACCUGUCAAAAGACAGACAGCUGUGAAACCUUAUUUAAUGGAGGAGAAAACCAAGACUGGCAGAGAGUUUGGAUGACCACUCUCAGGAAAAGACCAUUAAGAAGGCGAGAUGUGAGCCGAGAGGGCCUGUGGGAUGAAGCUUCAGAGCAGGCAUCAUGAUUGGGCGGUGACGUCAAGACAGAUAGCCUCACUGUUGGCUUAACUCAACAAGUACUUCGGAAAACCUGCUACAUGCCCAGCUCCAGGCGGGCUCAGGAGAGCAGCGGAAGGUGUUCUCCAUUCAGACCCUGUCCUCCUGGGGCAGCCGCGGGUUGAGAGUCUGCAGACUCCAGGGCCCACUUCAUCCUGCUGAGCGAGUCGGUUCCCAUUUCCUGCCCAGUUUGGUUUCUCUGUCUGUGCUGCUCUGUCGGGGGUGGGCCCUGGAGGAAACAGAAAUGCUCAUAGAGUAGGCUGCUCUUUGGACAUCCUAGCUCAGCCUCUGCAAACAAGUGCUAAGCAGGUCCUGUGCUUGAACCAGUCUGCGAGGCACCGCACAAAAGAG